UCUGAGGCCUGAGUGUUUGAGUAUUUAAA
rnacentral:piRNA from 1 species